rnacentral:rRNA from 1 species
UAAGGAAUAUUGGUCAAUGGACGCAAGUCUGAACCAGCCAUGUCGCGUGGAGGAUUAAGGCCCUCUGGGUUGUAAACUCCUUUUAUCUGGGAAGAAAUGUACUUUUUCUUGAGUACUUGACGGUACCAGAGGAAUAAGCACCGGCUAACUCCGUGCCAGCAGCCGCGGUAAUACGGAGGGUGCAAGCGUUAUCCGGAUUCACUGGGUUUAAAGGGUGCGUAGGUGGGCUUAUAAGUCAGUGGUGAAAUCUCCGAGCUUAACUUGGAAACUGCCGUUGAUACUAUAGGUCUUGAAUUAUCUGGAGGUAAGCGGAAUAUGUCAUGUAGCGGUGAAAUGCUUAGAUAUGACAUAGAACACCAAUUGCGAAGGCAGCUUACUACAUAUAAAUUGACGCUGAGGCACGAAAGCGUGGGGAUCAAACA